rnacentral:rRNA from 1 species
UACGUAGGGGGCAAGCGUUGUCCGGAAUCAUUGGGCGUAAAGCGCGUGUAGGCGGCCUUGUAAGUCCGUUCUGAAAGCCCGGGGCUCAACCCCGGGAGGCGGAUGGAUACUGCAGGGCUCGAGUACGGAAGAGGCGAGUGGAAUUCCCGGUGUAGCGGUGAAAUGCGCAGAUAUCGGGAGGAACACCAAUGGCGAAGGCAGCUCGCUGGGACGUUACUGACGCUGAGACGCGAAAGCGUGGGGAGCAACAGG